CUCGCGUUUGACGUUUCGAUCGAUCGGUGUAAACAAUCUUUAAUCUUGAUCUUAGACUUUCCUCAGAUUCUAGGGUUGAAUCUGUAGAUUUUAUUCGUAAAACGUAAUGGAUUUGGCAAUAUUCUCGAGUUCUAGUGAUAGUGACAGUGAUAUGGAAGUCCUAGCUCAAUUAUCAGACUGGGAUACAGAUACCGACAAUGAUGCUGGUGAACAGUCACGUCGUGCUUCUGUGCGAAGAAUGAAAAGGGUGAACUACAUGCAGAGUCUGGAUGAUGCAGAGUUUACCUUUAGGUUUAGGUUAUCGAAAUCAGCAGUAAACUCUCUGUUGACAGAAAUUAUGCCUGCUGUGCGUGUAAAAUCUUCAAGAAAUCAUGGAGUCUCACCACUGCAUCAACUGCUGCUGACCUUAAGGUUUUAUGCAUUAGGCACAAUGCUGAUUUCUGUGUCUGACUUUGUGGGAGUAUCAAAGUCAACAGCAGGCAGAAUAGUCCGGGAUAUUUCAUAUGCAAUAGCCCACUUAUAUGAUAAAUACAUUUUUGUGCAUCAAAGAAGUGCAGAAAAUUUUUAUGAUAUUGCAGAGUUUCCCAGAGUUCUUGGAGCUAUUGAUUGCACUCAUAUACGUAUACAGUCACCAUGUCUAUUAAUAGGUGAGGAAUUUAGAAAUCGGAAAGGUUACUUUUCAUUAAACGUUCAAGGAGUCUGUGAUGCAGAUUUGAGACUGAUGAAUGUGGUUGCUCGCUGGCCGGGUUCCACCCAUGAUGCAACAAUUUUCAAUAAUUCCAUUCUCAGAGCUCAGUGUGAUGCAGGGCAGUAUGAUGGCCGCUGGUUACUUGGAGAUAGUGCCUAUCCAAAUCGAAGUUAUCUACUCACACCACUGUUGAACCCUAGUUCUGAAGCUGAACACAGGUACAACGAAGCACACAUUAGGACCAGAAAUACAAUUGAAAGGACGUUCGGAGUGUGGAAAAGAAGAUUUCCUGUUGUGGCUCUCACACUGCGGGUUUCAUUGCCCGUUGCCCAGUCAAUAGUUAUUGCCACUGCAGUGCUUCAUAAUAUUUGUAGGAGUAACAGUAUAGAAGAAGUUCCUCCUGAGGUUGACUUGGACAUUCCUACAAAUAGUACCAAUGAAGAAAAUAAUUCAAAUAUGGAAGCCCAAGAUGUACAAACAAGAGCAGAUCUUAUAAAUAAUUAUUUUGUGUUAGUAUAAAGACAUUAUUUAUUUUGUGAUUGUUAUUUAUUGUCCAUUGUUUGUAAUAAUUAUUAUGUAGUAGAUACACAAGUUAUAUUCAGUUCCAAUUAUUGAUUACUUUGAUUACUGUGUAUAGUAGUUAAUAAUUGCAAAGUAUAUUUAAGUUAAUCUUAACAUGUCUGUAUCAUUUUAAAUUUUUAUUUCCUUUUUUAUGAGGUAUGUAUGUCAUAUGUGCCUAUACAUACCUAUUGAUCUUUCAAAAAGUGUAGACUUUACAGAACCUACUUCAAAAUAAAUAUAAAAUGUAGUAUUUUUAAUUUUGAAAUAAAAGAAUAGACUAUAGUA